rnacentral:tRNA from 1 species
UCCUGGUUAGCACAGGUGGUAGCGUGCUCCACAAGAAAUGGAGAGGUCCCUCGUUCAAUACCAGGAUCAGGCG